rnacentral:rRNA from 1 species
UACGUAGGGUGCGAGCGUUGUCCGGAAUUAUUGGGCGUAAAGAGCUUGUAGGCGGUUUGUCGCGUCUGCUGUGAAAUCUCAAGGCUCAACCUUGAGCUUGCAGUGGGUACGGGCAGACUAGAGUGUGGUAGGGGAGACUGGAAUUCCUGGUGUAGCGGUGAAAUGCGCAGAUAUCGGGAAGAACACCCGUGGCGACGGCGGCUCUCUGGGACGGUACUGACGCUGAGACGCGAAAGCGUGGGGAGCGAACAGG